ACGAACGCGCGAAGAUACGCGCGUUCGCCGGCCGGGCGUAAAGUACAUUAUGAUAUAUAACAACCAUCGAGAUCGAAGCUCCGUUCGUCAGGAAACGACGGGGAUAUAUACACCCGAUUCUGAAUCCUCUGUACAGCACACGAUCUCGCGAACGAGUAAGCACGGUGGCUAGCCCAUGUUAUAUAUGUGUUUGAUUCUACUCUCUCGUCCAAUUAUUCAAGAAACAGCGCGCGUGCAUCUCUCCAUCGUUCGGGUGAUAGUAAAGAUUCGAUGGGAUUCGCGCGGCCGUCCGCCUCGAGCGGUCUUUCGUCCCAAUAUCCAGAAGCAGAGUUUGAAAAACUCUAGCGACGGCACGGGUGUCCGACUCACGACAUCGAGGUUUCGAAGCCGGCGAUCCCCUCCGAACGGAUGGCGACCACGCGACCGACUGAAAGCAUGAAAAAUCGACGAAAGAUAGAACACAUCUCCGUUCGGGUGGUGUUUUUUCUUUAAAAAAAAAAAAAAAAACAAAAAUUCGAUGGGACUCGCAGCCAUCGUCCUCGCGCGGUCUUUCGUCCCGAUAUCCAGAAGCAGAGUUUGAAAAACUCUAGCGACGGCACGGGUGUCCGACUCACGACAACGAGGAUAGACAGCCGGUCCCCUCCGAACGGGUUAUGCGAUGAUAAACUCGAUGAAACUUUAGUCUCGUUCAGGUAGUGUGUGUCUUGUAAAUCAAAAAUUCGAUGGGACACGCAUCCAUCGUCCUCGCGCGGUCUUUCGUCCCAACAUCCAGAAGCAGAGUUUGAAAAACUCUAGCGACGGCACGGGUGUCCGACUCACGACAACGAGGAUAGACAGCCGGUCCCCUCUGAACGGUAUAUUAUAUAUGAGAUGAUAGACGACAAACUGGAUGAAACUUUAAGUCUCGUUCAGGUAGUGUGUAAAUCAAAAAUUCGAUGGGACUCGCAUCCGUCGUCCUCGCGCGGUCUUUCGUCCCGAUAUCCAGAAGCAGAGUUUGAAAAACUCUAGCGACGGCACGGGUGUCCGACUCACGACAACGAGGAAAGACAGCCGGUCCCCUCUGAACGGUAUAUUAUAUGAAACUUUAAGUCUCGUUCAGGUAGUGUGUAAGUCAAAAAUUCGAUGGGACUCGCAUCCGUCGUCCUCGCGCGGUCUUUCGUCCCGAUAUCCAGAAGCAGAGUUUGAAAAACUCUAGCGACGGCACGGGUGUCCGACUCACGACAACGAGGAUAGACAGCCGGUCCCCUCUGAACGGUAUAUUAUAUAUGCGAUGAUAGACGACAAACUGGAUGAAACUUUAAGUCUCGUUCAGGUAGUGUGUAAAUAAAAAAUUCGAUGGGACUCGCAUCCGUCGUCCUCGCGCGGUCUUUCGUCCCGAUAUCCAGAAGCAGAGUUUGAAAAACUCUAGCGACGGCACGGGUGUCCGACUCACGACAACGAGGAAAGACAGCCGGUCCCCUCUGAACGGUAUAUUAUAUGAAACUUUAAGUCUCGUUCAGGUAGUGUGUAAGUCAAAAAUUCGAUGGGACUCGCAUCCGUCGUCCUCGCGCGGUCUUUCGUCCCGAUAUCCAGAAGCAGAGUUUGAAAAACUCUAGCGACGGCACGGGUGUCCGACUCACGACAACGAGGAUAGACAGCCGGUCCCCUCUGAACGGUAUAUAAUAUGAAACUUUAAGUCUCGUUCAGGUAGUGUGUAAGUCAAAAAUUCGAUGGGACUCGCAUCCGUCGUCCUCGCGCGGUCUUUCGUCCCGAUAUCCAGAAGCAGAGUUUGAAAAACUCUAGCGACGGCACGGGUGUCCGACUCACGACAACGAGGAUAGACAGCCGGUCCCCUCUGAACGGUAUAUAAUAUACAUUAUGCGACGAUGAUAGACGACAAACUGGAUGAAACUUUAAGUCUCGUUCAGGUAGUGUGUAAAUCAAAAAUUCGAUGGGACUCGCAUCCGUCGUCCUCGCGCGGUCUUUCGUCCCGAUAUCCAGAAGCAGAGUUUGAAAAACUCUAGCGACGGCACGGGUGUCCGACUCACGACAACGAGGAAAGACAGCCGGUCCCCUCUGAACGGUAUAUUAUAUGAAACUUUAAGUCUCGUUCAGGUAGUGUGUAAGUCAAAAAUUCGAUGGGACUCGCAUCCGUCGUCCUCGCGCGGUCUUUCGUCCCGAUAUCCAGAAGCAGAGUUUGAAAAACUCUAGCGACGGCACGGGUGUCCGACUCACGACAACGAGGAUAGACAGCCGGUCCCCUCUGAACGGUAUAUUAUAUAUGCGAUGAUAGACGACAAACUGGAUGAAACUUUAAGUCUCGUUCAGGUAGUGUGUAAAUAAAAAAUUCGAUGGGACUCGCAUCCGUCGUCCUCGCGCGGUCUUUCGUCCCGAUAUCCAGAAGCAGAGUUUGAAAAACUCUAGCGACGGCACGGGUGUCCGACUCACGACAACGAGGAAAGACAGCCGGUCCCCUCUGAACGGUAUAUUAUAUGAAACUUUAAGUCUCGUUCAGGUAGUGUGUAAGUCAAAAAUUCGAUGGGACUCGCAUCCGUCGUCCUCGCGCGGUCUUUCGUCCCGAUAUCCAGAAGCAGAGUUUGAAAAACUCUAGCGACGGCACGGGUGUCCGACUCACGACAACGAGGAUAGACAGCCGGUCCCCUCUGAACGGUAUAUAAUAUGAAACUUUAAGUCUCGUUCAGGUAGUGUGUAAGUCAAAAAUUCGAUGGGACUCGCAUCCGUCGUCCUCGCGCGGUCUUUCGUCCCGAUAUCCAGAAGCAGAGUUUGAAAAACUCUAGCGACGGCACGGGUGUCCGACUCACGACAACGAGGAUAGACAGCCGGUCCCCUCUGAACGGUAUAUAAUAUACAUUAUGCGACGAUGAUAGACGACAAACUGGAUGAAACUUUAAGUCUCGUUCAGGUAGUGUGUAAAUCAAAAAUUCGAUGGACUCGCAUCCGUCGUCCUCGCGCGGUCUUUCGUCCCCGAUAUCCAGAAGCAGAGUUUGAAAAACUCUAGCGACGGCACGGGUGUCCGACUCACGACAACGAGGAAAGACAGCCGGUCCCCUCUGAACGGUAUAUUAUAUGAAACUUUAAGUCUCGUUCAGGUAGUGUGUAAAUAAAAAAUUCGAUGGGACUCGCAUCCGUCGUCCUCGCGCGGUCUUUCGUCCC